GACUAGUGACAGAGUGAGGGAGGGGGUGACUAGUGACAGGGAGGGGAGGGGGGACUAGUGACAGAGGGAGGGAUGGGGUGACUAGUGACAGUCACCACCUCCUUCACUGUGUCACCCCCUUCCUCACUCUGUCACUAGUCACCCCCUCUCUCACUUGUCACCCCCUCUCU